UGGGGAAUUUUGGACAAUGGGCGAAAGCCUGAUCCAGCAAUGCCGCGUGUGUGAAGAAGGCCUUCGGGUUGUAAAGCACUUUUGUCCGGAAAGAAAUCCUUGGCUCUAAUACAGUCGGGGGAUGACGGUACCGGAAGAAUAAGCACCGGCUAACUACGUGCCAGCAGCCGCGGUAAUACGUAGGGUGCAAGCGUUAAUCGGAAUUACUGGGCGUAAAGCGUGCGCAGGCGGUUUGCUAAGACCGAUGUGAAAUCCCCGGGCUCAACCUGGGAACCGCAUUGGUGACUGGCAGGCUAGAGUAUGGCAGAGGGGGGUAGAAUUCCACGUGUAGCAGUGAAAUGCGUAGAGAUGUGGAGGAAUACCGAUGGCGAAGGCAGCCCCCUGGGCCAAUACUGACGCUCAUGCACGAAAGCGUGGGGGAGCAAACAGGAUUAGAUACCCUGGUAGUCCACGCCCUAAACGAUGUCAACUAGUUGUUGGGGAUUUCAUUUUCCUUAGUAACGUAGCUAACGCGUGAAGUUGACCGCCUGGGGAGUACGGUCGCAAGAUUAAAAACUCAAAGGAAUUG
rnacentral:rRNA from 1 species